rnacentral:tRNA from 1 species
UCCAGGGUAGCCUAGUGGACAUGGCAUCUGCCCGGUAAGCGGAACACUGUGGUUUUGAUUCCCAUCCCUGGAC